rnacentral:rRNA from 1 species
AGAAUCAACGCUGGCGGCGUGCCUAACACAUGCAAGUCGAACGAGAAAGGGUAGCAAUACCUGAGUAAAGUGGCGCACGGGUGAGUAACACGUGACUAACCUACCUUUUAGUGGGGGAUAACCUAGGGAAACCUGGGCUAAUACCGCAUAAUACCUACGGGUCAAAGCAGCAAUGCGCUGAAUGAGGGGGUCGCGGUCGAUUAGUUAGUUGGCAGGGUAAUGGCCUACCAAGCUGUGAUCGAUA